rnacentral:lncRNA from 1 species
GAGUGAAGGAGUGAGCUCGCCAAGCACAACCAGCAGGGAUGAAAGGCUAACUCAGUGAACAACAGAAAGACAGACGGACUUCUGAACAGACACACCGACCAGCAGAAACCACUGGGGAAAGCAACAGUCAGCCAGUGCGACUGACUUAGAGUCCCAAACAGCUGUCUUCUUCUGGGGACAACAAAGAGAGGUGGCUCAGCAUGCAAGCAUGGGGACUGGAGUCUCAAAACUUCGAGAAUCCACCUAAACCUGAGUGUGGUGGUGCAUGGCUCUAAUCCCUGUUUACAGCGGUGCCCAUCCCGCCUCUCCCGCCUCUCCUGGGUGUGUGGUCUGCAAACAGGAACGUCUUCUGACUGAGGCACGGUUCACUCUUCUAUGGGUACCAGCAUCUUCCACCUUCAAUAA